rnacentral:rRNA from 1 species
AUUGAACGCUGGCGGCAGGCCUAACACAUGCAAGUCGAGCGAGCGGCGGACGGGUGAGAAAGGUCUGGGAAACUGCCUGAUGGAGGGGGAUAACUACUGGAAACGGUAGCUAAUACCGCAUACUAGCAGAUGAGCCUAGGUCGGAUUAGCUAGUAGGUGGGGGAAUGGCGCACCUAGGCGACGAUCCCUCGCUGGUCUGAGCGGAUGACCAGCCACACUGGAACCGAGACACGGUCCAGACUCCUACGGGAGGCAGCAGUUGGGAAUAUUGCACAAUGGGCGCAAGCCUGAUGCAGCCCUGCCGCGUGUGUGAAUAAGGCCUUCGGGUUGUAAAGCACUUUCAGCGGGGAGGCGUUACCCGCAGAAGAAGCACCGGCUAACUCCGUGCCAGCAGCCGCGGUAAUAC